AGGAUCAUUAUCGAAUAAACUUGAACAGGUUGUUUGCUGGCCCUUCUAGGGGGGUAUGUGCACGCUUGUCAUCUUUAUCAUUUUUCCAACUGUGCACACUUUGUAGACCACGGGGAGCAUUUUUUUUCCCUUUGCGUUCAAUUUGGGGUCUGCUGCGCUUUCACAAGUCAGCUUUCCCUCGUAUUUCCCUGGUCUAUGUUCUUUUCUUCACAACCUCUACAAUCAUUUGGAAUGUACCUAUUUAAAGUUAAUACAACUUUCAGCAACGGAUCUCUUGGCUCUCGCAUCGAUGAAGAACGCAGCGAAAUGCGAUAAGUAAUGUGAAUUGCAGAAUUCAGUGAAUCAUCGAAUCUUUGAACGCAUCUUGCGCUCCUUGGUAUUCCGAGGAGCAUGCCUGUUUGAGUGUCAUUUUAUCUUCUCAAAUCCACUUCUUCAUGUCGUGGCAAGAGGUUCUGGGAGUCUUUUUUGCCUGCUUCUCAACCAAAGAAGUCUGCUCUCCUGAAAUUCAUUAGUGGUAAUCUGAGCUGCUAUUCUGGCGUGAUAAUAUAUCGUCGCCUUUGCUUAUGCUGUCUCACCACCGCUUCAAAUACACAUCUUUUGACAAUCUUGACCUCAAAUCAGGUAGGACUACCCGCUGAACUUAA
rnacentral:rRNA from 1 species